UAAUACGUAGGUGGCAAGCGUUGUCCGGAAUUACUGGGUGUAAAGGGAGCGUAGGCGGGAAUCCAAGUUGGGUGUGAAAUGCUCAGGCUUAACCUGAGAGCUGCACCCAAAACUGGGUUUCUUGAGUGAUGUAGAGGCAGGCGGAAUUCCUAGUGUAGCGGUGAAAUGCGUAGAUAUUAGGAGGAACACCAGUGGCGAAGGCGGCCUGCUGGGCAUUAACUGACGCUGAGGCUCGAAAGCGUGGGGAGCAAACAGGAUUAGAUACCCUGGUAGUCCACGCUGUAAACGAUGAUUACUAGGUGUGGGGGGACUGACCCCUUCCGUGCCGGAGUUAACACAAUAAGUAAUCCACCUGGGGAGUACGGCCGCAAGGUUG
rnacentral:rRNA from 1 species